GGAGGUGUGAGGGCUCUGACAGGGUCCUAGAGUCCUCCUUCAUUCUUCCCAAAGCCUAGUUUGCACUUUCCCAGCUUUGGGAAGGAAGUGGAGGGCUUUAGGACCCUGCCAGAGCCCUUACGCUUCC